rnacentral:rRNA from 1 species
GGGUUGUGAGGUUAAGCGACUAAGCGUACACGGUGGAUGCCCUGGCAGUCAGAGGCGAUGAAGGACGUGCUAAUCUGCGAUAAGCGUCGGUAAGGUGAUAUGAACCGUUAUAACCGGCGAUUUCCGAAUGGGGAAACCCAGUGUGAUUCGUCACACUAUCAUUAACUGAAUCCAUAGGUUAAUGAGGCGAACCGGGGGAACUGAAACAUCUAAGUACCCCGAGGAAAAGAAAUCAACCGAGAUUCCCCCAGUAGCGGCGAGCGAACGGGGAGGAGCCCAGAGCCUGAAUCAGUGUGUGUGUUAGUGGAAGCGUUUGGAAAGGCGCGCGAUACAGGGUGACAGCCCCGUACACAAAAAUGCACAUGCU